UACGUAGGGUGCAAGCGUUGUCCGGAAUUAUUGGGCGUAAAGAGCUCGUAGGCGGUUUGUCGCGUCUGCUGUGAAAACGCGAGGCUCAACCUCGCGCCUGCAGUGGGUACGGGCAGACUAGAGUGCGGUAGGGGAGAUUGGAAUUCCUGGUGUAGCGGUGGAAUGCGCAGAUAUCAGGAGGAACACCGAUGGCGAAGGCAGAUCUCUGGGCCGUAACUGACGCUGGAGGAGCGAAAGCGUGGGGAGCGAACAGG
rnacentral:rRNA from 1 species